UACGAGGGGAGCUAGCGUUGUUCGGAAUUACUGGGCGUAAAGCGCACGUAGGCGGGGUUGUCAGUCAGAUGUGAAAUCCCGGGGCUCAACCCCGGAACUGCAUUUGAUACUGCAACUCUUGAGGGUAGGCGGAGAAAACGGAAUUCCACAUGUAGCGGUGAAAUGCGUAGAUAUGUGGAAGAACACCGGUGGCGAAGGCGGUUUUCUAGCUUAUUCCUGACGCUGAAGCGCGAAAGCAAGGGGAGCAAACAGG
rnacentral:rRNA from 1 species